AUACGGAGGAUCCGAGCGUUAUCCGGAUUUAUUGGGUUUAAAGGGUGCGCAGGCGGCCAUUUAAGUCAGCGGUUAAAUCGUGGGGCUCAACCCCAUUCUGCCGUUGAUACUGGGUGGCUUGAUUGCGGUCGAGGUUGGCGGAAUUCGUUGUGUAGCGGUGAAAUGCAUAGAUAUGACGAAGAACACCGAUUGCGUAGGCAGCUGACCAGACCGCAAAUGACGCUCAUGCACGAAAGUGCGGGGAUCGAACAGGAUUAGAUACCCUGGUAGUCCGCACAGUAAACGAUGAAUACUUGUUUUCGGCGAUAUAAUGUCGGAGGCAAAGCGAAAGCGACAAGUAUUCCACCUGGGGAGUACGCCGGCAACGGUGAAACUCAAAUGAAUUGGCGGGG
rnacentral:rRNA from 1 species